GUAACACAGAGAUUGAUUUUCUCGCUGAUCAUGCAUUCAUUAUUUUAUUCUAUCGUAACUCGUGCAGUUUCGAAGAGUCCCCUAAUAACAGAUAUGAAUAUAAAUGAAUAUAAUAAGAUACGGACCAAAGUAUUGAAAGUCCUAAAAAGAGGUCACCUGGCAUCAUCAAUUACAGAACAGAAACAUAAUGAAAACGAAUUUAUACUACAUAAACUAGUAAAGAGAGCAUGCAUUGGAAUAGAAGAAAUGUGUGGAUGAACCGGUACACUGCAGGGAGUUUCAUCUCCUUUGGAGACGAUAAUUUCGAACUAUACAAGCCAAUACGUGUCCAUCCGAUUUUGAAAGAAGUAUUGAUGCAGUCCUCUUUUAUCUCGACGCACAACGGUUUGCAAUUAUGAGGAUAUAUUACUGUACAAUAACCGUUACGGAUUUGAUAUAGUCCAUACUUUUCCAUGCGUUACCAAUUCGAAAAAGUCCUGUUUGCGCUAGCAGUUGAAGGAUUUUUUUACAGUGUGAAAUAAACAUUGGUCUACGAGAAUAAUAAAUAAUCGAAAAAUAGAUAGACAAACCAGCAAUCAGAGUUUCCAAGGCAUUUAUUUCACCAGCCAAUGAAAUUGCAGCCUUCAAAUUUUUCAAGGCGUGUAUCAAUACGACAAAACCAGAGGAUCCCAAAAGGUUUUUAAAACAGAAAGUAGAGUGGACAGUUGUCAGAUCCUUGUAAGCGAAGCGUGGACACAGAAUCAGUAUUUCAAUCAGAUUGUGUAGAGUGUUGACUAUUAGUUUUGAUACGAUGUAAACGUGUGAUGUAGACAAAAUAGAAUGACAAUGUUAUAGUGAUAUUGAUAUUUGAUAAAUUAGAAUUCGUAGAAGAAGAACAUAACAGCUCGAUAUUUAAGUAAAAAUACAAAACUUUAAA